rnacentral:misc_RNA from 1 species
GGAGUCGAAGCUCAUCAUCUCGCGAGAAAGUAUAACCGCUACGCGCGAGUUUAGAGGCAAGAAGAAUGUUGCUUGGUUAGUCGUGGGUGUUCUUCGUAACGCGUUAAACGACAGCGCGAUUAUAUACAUAUAUAGAUUUAUAUCACUAUAUUUAAAAUUACUUACACAUAUAUUCAUUAUUUAUUUGUGUAUAUACAUAUGUGUGUGUGUGUGUAUAUAAAAUUCGACACUGCUACAGCGACGAAAGGACAGUUCGGUUAUUUCUUCGGCUGAUGCUCUGCCGUUAGCUUCUGCGGGCGAGGCUCUUCCGUAUACACAGUGUAAUGGUGUAUGAAAAAGAUUUAAUUCGAGUUUUGAACUUUUGAACGAACAUCAACAACUUUGCGCAAUGAUUGGAGCGAAAAUCGUGGUGCUCGGUGCUUUUUUAUUGUGUCAGUGUUAAUCCUUCAAACGAGGAUGCUCUAGUUCGAGAGUGCCGGAAGGCGGCGGCUGCUCGUCGCUGCUGCUGCUGCAUGUUAAUAAUAAUAACAAUAAUAAAAUAAAUAAAUAAAAAAGUGAACCCGAAACAUUGUUUAUGAAUUUUGUGAAGUUUUUCGCGAAGUAAAAAUAAUAACGGACGAGUUUCAACAUCAUCCAUUGAUAAAGACACGCCAAAAAAUAUUUGACGAAUCUUAUUUCGGAUAUAAAGAAAUGUGCGCGCGUGUACGCUUUGUACGUAAACGAUCUAAGAAAGCACAGGAAUCAUAGGAAAAGUUUGUCGACUCGUGUUUUGUGUUCUCUUUCUUCUUCUUACUGAUCUUUCGAAUUUUUUGUUUACUUCUUUUUGCGGGUUCUCGCGUCUCUUCGAGCGCCACGGGCGGGGCAAAGAAAACUUGCGUUUUCUACUUCUCAUUUUUUGGCGUAUUGUUUUUUGUGAUUCUUCAACAAUUUCGUUCCUAAUAAUCUUACAACUCGACUGCUCCUCGUCGUUUUCACCGAAAAUCUACUAGAUUUUUCGUAACGAGUGCUUUUUCUUGGUCUUGUUUUCGUGAUCUGUUCCGCGCUCGUGUGUGAAUCGUUUCGACCUUUUUCGCCCUUCAUAUUCGAGGGACCAUGCACCAAAUCCCUCAACGAUGAUCAACCGGAUCGGACUUCCUCGUUCUUCCUGGACCUGGAAUAGACACUGACGAUAUGGACACAGUAUGGCUUCGGUACUCUGGCAUGCCUCUGGGAGUAGUUUCGUUUCACCUACCGUCAUAUUCCUCCUGCUACUCUGUCCACGUACUACCACAGGCCGCGAGGUAAUUGACGUACCACUGCCACAGCAAGACUACGUACCAACCCUGCCACCACCACCACCACCGGGACCCAUCACCACUGCCAGAACACCAAAGUGUGACCAGAAAUUCGUCAGCAUUGCGGAUGGCCCGCAAAAUGGAACGUUUGAGGCACCGUCUUUGAUAAAUCCCGAUGGUGAAUCACAGCAGUGCGUUUACACGUUCUUCGCUGGGCCGGAACAACGCGUGGAACUCGUCUUUACUUCCUUCGGCCUCCGCGGCUCUCCGCCAGAUGGAUCCGCCGUCGGGGAAUUGCCUGCAUGUGUUCACGAGUACAUGGAUGUGUACACGGAGAUACGAUCGGAGAAUACGACCAAGUUGAUAGAGACGCCGUUCGGUGGCCGUUAUUGCGGUCCUAUUCCACCGCGUAGAAGAGUUUCACUUUAUCAGGGUCUCGCUCUGAGCUUCUACACGGAUAAAAAUGUCACAGAGCCGAGCCUCUUCGGCGGCCGAUACACCUUCAUCAAUGCCUCCGAAUACGCGGUUGGUACACCAGCUCCGGAAACUCCGUGCUCGUACAUCGUAGACUCCCAAACGAAACGUACGGGAAACAUACUAUCGCCGACUUAUCCAGGCACAUAUCCGAAGGAUCUCGUCUGCAACUACACGUUCAUUGGAAAACCGGCGCAGAGGGUUCGUCUCGAGUUUCGUGACUUUGACUUAUUCUUCGGAGGUCCUCACUGUCCGUUCGAUUACGUCAAAGUGUUUGACGGUCCGAACACAACGUCACCGGUUAUCGGCACUUACUGCGGUCAACAGCGAAAUUUGGUGUUGUAUUCCUCGCAAAAUAAUCUCACGGUUUUAUUCGUAACUCUUGAGCGUACGGCGAAUACGCAAAAUCGAGGAUUCAAAGGAAUCUUUGAAUUUUCCGAGAGUUUUGUUAAAUUAGAUUUCAUAACCAACUACCAUGGUAUGCAUAUACGUGGCUCGGAGUGUGAUCAAAAAAUUUUGAGCCAGAAAAAAUCGUCGGGUUACGUCGUCAGUCCAAAUUAUCCAUUUCCAUACAUAACCAAAGUCGUUUGUCGUUACUUCGUUUAUGGUAUGCAAGACUCGCAACAUUUGGAGCGCGUGCGACUGACUUUUUUGAACUUUGAAAUAACAAAGGGCGAGGCUAAGGGAGAGUCCGCGUGUACAGAUGGUUACCUCAAGAUUUACUUGAAAGGACAGGAGGCGACGGACUCUUACGACAAAUUUGACUACGAGAUGUGUGGCACCGAGAGCAAUCCGAGCCACGUAGUUAGCGACGGGCCACGUCUCGUCAUGGUGUUCAGCAGCGGGGAAAUGAAGCAGGGCAAAGGAUUCAAAGCACAAUACAAUUUCGAAACGGAAUACAGGAUACCGGGUACAGCGGCACCGGACGGUACCUGCUCCUUCGCAUACCGCAGUUCCUCACGUAAAAAAGGCGAAUUCAAUUCGCCGCGUUAUCCUAGCAAUUAUCCAAGCGAUACGAAUUGUACAUACUUGUUUUUGGCAACACCGAACGAACAAGUCACCCUCGUGUUCGAUCAUUUUAAAGUCAGAACGAGAAAUACCAACCUGACCGUUGGUCAUUACGGGGCUGAAUUGUGCCAAGACGACUGGCUCGAAAUUUACAAUAUGUAUCGGGAUGAUACAGAAAAAUUGAUAGGUAGGUUUUGUUGGAUGACCUCACCGGGGCCGGUGGAAUCGAAUCUCGGAGCUCUCGGUCUCAAAGUUAUCCUCCAUUCGGACUCGGAACUCGUCUACAGCGGAUUCAAAGCUCGCUACACCUUCGAAGUGGCGAAAUCCAUUUUUGGAGAUUGCGGCUCAAAUAUAAGCAGUCUCGACUUUGGUGUUAUAACAAGUCCAAACUUUCCAAACAAUUAUGACAAACCUGCGCGUAAUCUUGCCAGUAAAACGUGUAAUUGGUUCAUCAACGUUCGACCGAAUCAUCGGAUACUUCUGAACUUUGAAUUAUUUUCUGUCGAGGGUGAACAAUCUGUGCGUGGUUGUCCCGCUGCAGUUUUACGAAUGUGGCAUUCGUCAACGGCACCACCCUUCGAGUUAUGUGGGGUGAAAACUCCGGAAUCACAAUGGAGUUAUCUGUCAGAAGAGAACAACAUGCGUCUUAGUUUCAUAUCUGCUGACAAGGCGGUUGGGCAACGUGGAUUUCGUGCAGUGUGGACGGAAGUUUCAAUGGCGACCGAGUGCGAUACAAACGAAUUUCAUUGCGAAAUAAGCAGAUAUUGCAUCUCGACGGCUCUGCGUUGCAACAAAAUCGACAAUUGCGGACCGGAAGACACAUCCGACGAGGAAAACUGUACAGCAUCAGCCCCGCUGUCACCAGCACUCACCGGACUUUCUGCCAUGCUUCUUCGUCUGUCUCUGUGCUUCUCUGUGUUCGCGAGCAUCUGAGGCCUUUUCCCUCUCGAGGCUUCGGACGAUCGGGCAUGAUAUGAUCUCUCCCUUAUAUCACGUGCGAUUGCUGCGCCAAUUGACAAUUACGCGGUGCCAGUGAGUUGCGCGGUUGCGGCCGUCCUCGCAGCUCUCGUACUGUGUCUCAUAUGUCAUCGUAAAUUGAAGAGACGCGUCGAGGAAGUGCACAUUGACGA